ACAGGACCAGGACCAGGACCAGGACCAGAGCAAGGAUGGGGCCACAGAGAAGGCAGGACCAGGAAGAGUCCAGAGCAAGGGCAUGGCCAGGGCAGAAUAAG